rnacentral:lncRNA from 1 species
UUCCUGCCACAACCAGUUAUGCAAGCAAGGUGCAGGGGCUGUUGCAGGAGUGGUUACUGCAGGGGCCUUCUUCUUAGCCCUGUUCGGCGGUGCUCUUUUCUGGGUUUACAACAAGAAAUUCCAAAAUGUAAAAAAAUCAGAAUCUUUUGCAUCUGAUAUAAUCAAAAUGCCGAAAGAAUUCACCUACAAGGAGCUGAGAUCCGCUACCAAAUGCUUCAAUGCGAAUAGAAUAAUCGGCCAUGGCGCAUUCGGGACUGUCUACAAGGGUAUUUUAACAGAGACCGGCGACAUUGUUGCAGUAAAAAGAUGCAGCCAUAGUACGCAAGGCAAGAACGAGUUUCUCUCAGAAUUAUCAAUAAUCGGAGGUCUUCGCCAUCGAAAUCUGGUAAGA